CAGCGGAGACAUGAGGACCUACUGGC
rnacentral:piRNA from 1 species